CGAGCGUUGUCCGGAAUUAUUGGGCGUAAAGAGCUUGUAGGCGGUUUGUCGCGUCUGCUGUGAAAGGCCGGGGCUUAACCCCGUGUAUUGCAGUGGGUACGGGCAGACUAGAGUGCAGUAGGGGAGACUGGAAUUCCUGGUGUAGCGGUGGAAUGCGCAGAUAUCAGGAGGAACACCGAUGGCGAAGGCAGGUCUCUGGGCUGUAACUGACGCUGAGAAGCGAAAGCAUGGGGAGCGAACAGGAUUAGAUACCCUGGUAGUCCAUGCCGUAAACGUUGGGCACUAGGUGUGGGGGACAUUCCACGUUUUCCGCGCCGUAGCUAACGCAUUAAGUGCCCCGCCUGGGGAGUACGGCCGCAAGGCUAAAACUCAAAGAAAUUGACGGGGGCCCGCACAAGCGGCGGAGCAUGCGGAUUAAUUCGAUGCAACGCGAAGAACCUUACCAAGGCUUGACAU
rnacentral:rRNA from 1 species